UCUCAACUUCUGCUCAAACUCCAUCUCCAAGCAUAUGGCUAUGCUCUCCAGUUUCUCUGUUCUUCAUCGUUUGAGAGCUACAAGACCACCUGACCCCUGCAUGGGCUUCUUUUCACCAGAAAGCCUUGCAGCCCCCACCCCCAGAGAGAGGGCGGACAGUGGUCUAUCCAAGCACAAUUCCAGCAUGGCCUGAGCCAGCAAAUGGAGAAGAGCGAUCAAAAGCGAUCGGACAACCGUACCGAAUCACAAACACAAAGAGGGCCAUUCCCUGUAAUUAGAUAGCCAGACAGAGGCGCUGCACCAUCAGGAAAGAAAAUGAAGAAAAGAAAACUUCCGUGCAAGUUGGAAUCUGAGGGAUGCCAGGAGUGUGUAAGGGAUGGUUCUCACCUUUAUUGGGAGACAAGUGUGUAUAUAAAGUUGGUUUCCCUGUGAGAUGAGAAGCAGAGUUGUGGAAUUGAUAAAGAAGAGAUGAAAGCAUCAGGGCCAGAUGACAUACAAAAAUCGUGGAGAAGAAUGGUCUUUGUCCUAAGAAAUGCCUCAUCCAGCCCCAGGUCCCCGGAAUAUACAAGCCCAGGCAUCUGACUAGGCCAUGGAGGGGCCCCAGGAACCUCGCUCCUCCUUUUCCUUCAGCAGAAAUAGAUGUCAGGAUGAGGAAGAAAAAUCUUGUGCCUGCCACACCCAUUCCCUCCUCCACUUCACCAGCGUGUGCACUUGUCCACCCUGUUUCCCAAAGAGGCGCUACUUUCUGUCCAGCUCAGGAGAGCAAAACAAAGGGAAAAUGUCAGCCACGUGCAGCCUUGAAUCCUGCUUAACUGUUAUGUUAACUGGGGCUUUCAGCCAGGUGAGCUGGAGUGGCCAGAUCUGAUCAGCCCUCCAAAGGACAGAGGAACGCUCCAGAAGAGACAGCUGAAGCAGUUGUUACAACAUGAGGACUGCAGGGCAGGCGACACUUCACAACAUCACCAAAGAUUGAUGCAAAUUGGUUUGGUUCUGACCCUGUCACACCAGGAAGGAUAAUGAUUCCAGCAGCGUGACAUGGGAGGGGGC
rnacentral:lncRNA from 1 species